rfam:Ipomoea nil DNA, scaffold: scaffold1286, cultivar: Tokyo-kokei standard.
AUACUUACCUGGACGGGGUCAAUGGGUGAUCAGCAAGGCCCAUGGCCUAGGUUGAUGACUUCCAUUGCACUUUGGAAGGGUGUUAAUCUAAGGUCUACCUUAUAGGUGGAGCCUACGUCAUAAUUUGUGGUAGAGGGGGCCUGCGUUCGCGCGGCCCCUAC